GACUGAUAAUUUUUUUGUUUAUCAGCUCAUUUUUUCAAGAUUGAGAGCCAUUUGUCUGAAAUGCGGUUCUUUGUUCAUGCGGAUUCAAUUUUCCACACUGUGUUUGGUACUAAAUGCAUGUUAGCGGUUAACUGUUCUGACAAAUUGAAACAAUGCAGUCCGCAGUUAAUGCCCCCCCCCCAAUCGCAACUCUCCGUACAGCGCCUGCAUUUUCCAUGAAACAGUCGUAGGCCGGGUAGCGCUUACAAACGCCACGACCAACAAGUCUUGUACCCAGACCACGUAUCGGCCAUUCAUGCGUGUGUCUGGGAAGACCAUGUUCGCCCUUAGUUUUUGCGGUGGCAAAAUUUCGGCACGCGCGCGUAUUUGACUGGCAGGAGGCGUUGAAAACUUUGUGUCGGUUCGUGCGUGUGUGGAGCAAAAUGGUCUGAUUUUGACAGAUUUUGAAGUCCGAUAUAUCAUUGAAGCCCCAACGGUGUGACGUUGGCAUAUGAGGAGGAGAGUAGGUGGUGAUAAAGGCGAAAGGCAUGCAUGAAAUGAAACCUGCUUUGUUCACUGGUUUUUCUGCUCUCAAGAGCUUUGAAUACUGAUCUAGAAAUGGUGCUUUAUGACGAGCUCCACGGAACUCGGACCCACUGCCGGUUUCUCUGCCACCAGCGGGACUCGAACCUGGGACCUUCUCCUCCGAGGGCGGG